UUGUAGAAACUUUUGUAUUAGGUUUAUCUUUCAUUUUAAGCAUAUAAAAUUCAUGUAGCUUAAUCUUUUUUAUUGAAUUCUUGCGGCAAUAAUCGAUUAUUGUAGAGAAUAAUCGAUUAUCAUAAGUAAAAAUAGAAAAGGCUUCGUCUCGACUAGAGCUGUCAAAACGGGUAACCCGGCUCGACCCGGUCCGGUCCACCACGGGUUGG
rnacentral:lncRNA from 1 species